CCUACGAGGCAAGUAACAUUUACAUUUAUAACAUUUAAGCAGAACUAAAUAAAAAAAAUUAUUUCAUCUAUUUGAAAUAAUACAAAGAUCACAAUUGUAUUUACUUUCAUCAUAUAUAGCAUGUUGCAUAGAAUUUCUAUAAUCAUAAAUAGAUGACUUAUAGUUUGAAUGUUAUAAAUUGAAAUAAAUAAAGGUACAUGCUA
rnacentral:lncRNA from 1 species